rnacentral:rRNA from 1 species
GAGCGGACCGACGGGAGCUUGCUCCCUUAGGUCAGCGGCGGACGGGUGAGUAACACGUGGGUAACCUGCCUGUAAGACUGGGAUAACUCCGGGAAACCGGGGCUAAUACCGGAUGCUUGAUUGAACCGCAUGGUUCCAAUCAUAAAAGGUGGCUUUUAGCUACCACUUACAGAUGGAUCCGCGGCGCAUUAGCUAGUUGGUGAGGUAACGGCUCACCAAGGCGACGAUGCGUAGCCGACCUGAGAGGGUGAUCGGCCACACUGGGACUGAGACACGGCCCAGACUCCUACGGGAGGCAGCAGUAGGGAAUCUUCCGCAAUGGACGAAAGUCUGACGGAGCAACGCCGCGUGAGUGAUGAAGGUUUUCGGAUCGUAAAACUCUGUUGUUAGGGAAGAACAAGUACCGUUCGAAUAGGGCGGCACCUUGACGGUACCUAACCAGAAAGCCACGGCUAACUACGUGCCAGCAGCCGCGGUAAUACGUAGGUGGCAAGCGUUGUCCGGAAUUAUUGGGCGUAAAGCGCGCGCAGGCGGUUUCUUAAGUCUGAUGUGAAAGCCCCCGGCUCAACCGGGGAGGGUCAUUGGAAACUGGGGAACUUGAGUGCAGAAGAGGAGAGUGGAAUUCCACGUGUAGCGGUGAUAUGCGUAGAGAUGUGGAGGAACACCAGUGGCGAAGGCGACUCUCUGGUCUGU